GUGCCAGCAGCCGCGGUAAUACGUAGGGUGCAAGCGUUAAUCGGAAUUACUGGGCGUAAAGCGUGCGCAGGCGGUUGUGCAAGACCGAUGUGAAAUCCCCGGGCUUAACCUGGGAAUGGCAUUGGUGACUGCACGGCUAGAGUGUGUCAGAGGGGGGUAGAAUUCCACGUGUAGCAGUGAAAUGCGUAGAGAUGUGGAGGAAUACCGAUGGCGAAGGCAGCCCCCUGGGAUAACACUGACGCUCAUGCACGAAAGCGUGGGGAGCAAACAGGAUUAGAAACCCGCGUAGUCC
rnacentral:rRNA from 1 species